UCCAGACUCCUACGGGAGGCAGCAGUGGGGAAUAUUGGGCAAUGGGCGCAAGCCUGACCCAGCAACGCCGCGUGAAGGAAGAAGGCUUUCGGGUUGUAAACUUCUUUUCUCAGGGACGAAGCAAGUGACGGUACCUGAGGAAUAAGCCACGGCUAACUACGUGCCAGCAGCCGCGGUAAUACGUAGGUGGCAAGCGUUAUCCGGAUUUACUGGGUGUAAAGGGCGUGUAGGCGGGAAAGCAAGUCAGAUGUGAAGACCAUGGGCUCAACCUGUGGCCUGCAUUUGAAACUGUUUUUCUUGAGUACUGGAGAGGCAGACGGAAUUCCUAGUGUAGCGGUGAAAUGCGUAGAUAUUAGGAGGAACACCAGUGGCGAAGGCGGUCUGCUGGACAGCAACUGACGCUGAGGCGCGAAAGCGUGGGGAGCAAACAGGAUUAGAUACCCGAGUAUC
rnacentral:rRNA from 1 species